UACGGAGGGUGCGAGCGUUGUUCGGAAUUACUGGGCGUAAAGCGUGCGCAGGCGGUUUUGUAAGUCAGAUGUGAAAUCCCCGAGCUCAACUUGGGAACUGCGUUUGAAACUACAAGACUAGAAUAUGUCAGAGGGGGGGUAGAAUUCCACGUGUAGCAGUGAAAUGCGUAGAGAUGUGGAGGAAUACCAAUGGCGAAGGCAGCCCCCUGGGAUAAUAUUGACGCUCAUGCACGAAAGCGUGGGGAGCAAACAGG
rnacentral:rRNA from 1 species